rnacentral:rRNA from 1 species
UACGUAGGGUGCAAGCGUUAAUCGGAAUUACUGGGCGUAAAGCGUGCGCAGGCGGUUGUGCAAGACCGAUGUGAAACUCCCCGGGCUUAACCUGGGAAUGGCAUUGGUGACUGCACGGCUAGAGUGUGUCAGAGGGGGUAGAAUUCCACGUGUGAGCAGUGAAAUGCGUAGAGAUGUGGAGGAAUACCGAUGGCGAAGGCAGCCCCUGGGAUAACACUGACGCUCAUGCACGAAAGCGUGGGAGCAAACAGG